rnacentral:rRNA from 1 species
AUUGAACGCUGGCGGCAUGCCUUACACAUGCAAGUCGAACGGCAGCACGGGGCAACCUGGUGGCGAGUGGCGAACGGGUGAGUAAUGCAUCGGAACGUACCUUUCAGUGGGGGAUAACGUAGCGAAAGUUACGCUAAUACCGCAUAUUCUGUGAGCAGGAAAGCAGGGGAUCGCAAGACCUUGCGCUGAUUGAGCGGCCGAUGUCAGAUUAGAUAGUUGGUGAGGUAAAGGCUCACCAAGGCGACGAUCUGUAGCGGGUUUGAGAGGAUGAUCCGACGAACUGUAACUGAGACACGGUCCAGACUCCUACGGGAGGCAGCAGUGGGGAAUUUUGGACAAUGGGGGCAACCCUGAUCCAGCCAUGCCGCGUGAGUGAAGAAGGCCUUCGGGUUGUAAAGCUCUUUCGGCCGGGAAGAAAUCGCACGGGCUAAUACCCUGUGUGGAUGACGGUACCGGAAUAAGAAGCACCGGCUAACUACGUGCCAGCCGCCGCAGUAAAAC